rnacentral:sRNA from 1 species
GUCGGGUGUGGUGGCUUAUGUCUGUAAUCCAAGUGGCUCAGGAGACUGAGGCAGGAGGAUUGAGAGUUCAAAGCCAGCCUCAGCAACUUAACAAGGUCCUAAGCAACUCAGUGAGACCCUGUCUCUA